rnacentral:rRNA from 1 species
UACGUAGGGUGCGAGCGUUAAUCGGAAUUACUGGGCGUAAAGCGUGCGCAGGCGGUGAUGUAAGACAGGUGUGAAAUCCCCGGGCUUAACCUGGGAACUGCAUUUGUGACUGCAUCGCUGGAGUGCGGCAGAGGGGGAUGGAAUUCCGCGUGUAGCAGUGAAAUGCGUAGAUAUGCGGAGGAACACCGAUGGCGAAGGCAAU